GUGACAGAAGAGAGUGAGCACACGUGGUUGUUUUCUUGCAUACAUGAUGCGCUUGUGCUUGGAGCUACGCGUGCUCACUUCUCUUUCUGUCAC
rfam:Leersia perrieri chromosome 1, whole genome shotgun sequence.